UGGAAAUAACUUUCCCCUCACAUGGAGACUGGCGGAUGAAUGAGUCGUUAGCCACUCGCCCAUCGCUUCAUGCAUAAGAAGCUACUGCUGAGGAAGAAGAAGAGUGCUCUUCUAUGCUGACCCCCACACCUCAUGACCCCUCGUAUCCUACAGCCCACUCUGAGAAAAGAGCGGUUGAUAUUUCCCGAAGAGCUGUUGGGGCUUCGACAGCAGGAGUCGGAUGAAAGAGACGAAACGUGCGAACGGCGAGCCCAGCAGGCGACACCACACGCUGCGCUGCGAUGCGACGCGUCCGAGGGACGGGAGAGCCUCCCUUCGCCGGCCUCCAAGCAGCCGCCUGCCCGAUCGCCAUGGAAACGUUAAAUGAAAACUGCACGCAGAGCGAAUGCUGAGUUGAUGGACUAAAGCCAGACCCUGCCCACGCUUUACCGUGAAAACACGUUGAUCGACUGUCUUUCCCAUCUCUCUAACAGCAUAGAGUGCGCUAACAGCCAUUUAAACCACCCAGCAGAUGUGAACACUGAGAACCAGGUGUGUUUCUUUUCUCACCGGAAACUUCAGGUAGACCGGAUCCAACACUAAUAACGAGGCAGGCAUGGCUGAAUCUCAGCUGUGAGCCGCAGCUCUGUAUGCUAAAGUAACAAAACCUGAUGUGUAUGGGUAUCUGCACUAAAUGGUGAUGUCACAAACUUUGGUUAGUCCCCCCUCCAACUGUCAGAGGUCAUGUCGCAAAGUCUGAAAUGUCACCAGUCUGAUUACUUUGGUUAGUCCCCCCUCCAACUGUCAGAGGUCAUGUCGCAAAGUCUGAAAUGUCACCAGUCUGAUUGCAACGCUGACCACACCAGUUACACCGGUGCUGUGCGACUCUUGAGAGCGAUGAUGCUGUCAGCUGAGGGUAUAUGAGGUGUACAGUGGUACUGCACAGUUGCUGUAUUCAUGAAUCAUCAGUUGAUGUCACUUCCUAGGGUCCAUAUGGUCCCUGUGCAAGUAGCUUUAAAUAAAGUCACUGCAAAACGUA